ACCAGCCCCGGGGAGGAAACGCCUCUUGUGUUGUGUGUUUGCAGCACACGGCUCCGCGACAGCGGGGCUGCAGGCCAGGGUUGCUGCCCCCGGCCCGGCCCGGCCCUGUCGCGCGUCCUCGCACGUGUGUCUGCCGGGCCAAGCCAUGAUGCUGCCCACGGCCGGCCCCAGCACCGGGCAGACCUGCGGGCUCGUGCUCAUCUCCGCCGUGCUGCUGCAGUCCAUCUGCGUGGCUGUGACUUUCCUCUACUUCACUAACGAGCUGAAGCAGCUCCGGGACACAUACUCCAAGAGUGGCAUUGCCUGCCUCACUGGGGAAGAACUGGGAACUUUCAUGGGAGACUUGGAUCUAAACAGAAUAGAAGAGAGAGAGCAAGACCCCUGCUGGCAAGUAAAGUGGGAGCUAGGAAAGUUAAUUAAAAAGAUCAUGUCAAGAUACUAUGAAGAAAACAUGUCUGCAGUGAAAGCUGAAACUUCGCUAAGUCUUUCAACAACUGAAGAUCAGGAAUCUCAGACUCCCGUGCACAGAGUAGCAGCUCACAUAACUGGAAACAGCAAUAGGAUGAGUUCAUCAUUCACACAAAAUUCCUCAUUCAGAAGAGGAUACGGAAAGAAAAUAUACUCUUGGGAAGCAUCAAGGAAAGGCCAUUCUUUUCUCUACAAUGUGGAACUGAGAAACGGGGAGUUGAUCAUACCCAAAACAGGGUUUUAUUACAUCUACUGUCAAACUUACUUCCGAUUCCGUGAACCAGAGGAUGAGGAUUCAGACUCAGAUUUAUCGGAGCAAAUCAGAAACCCUAAACAAAUGGUCCAGUAUGUUUACAAACUGACCAGUUAUCCAGAACCCAUCCUUCUUCUGAAAAGUGCAAGAAGUAGCUGCUGGUCUAAAAAGGCAGAGUAUGGACUUUACUCCAUAUACCAAGGAGGAGUGUUUCAACUAAAAAGGAAUGACAGGAUUUUUGUCUCUGUCAGUAAUGAGGACAUAGUUGACAUGGACAAAGAAGCAAGCUUUUUUGGGGCCUUUUUGAUCAGCUAAAUGCUUAAGACAAAGGCAAACCCCAAAUGAAUCAGGUUUUCAUUUUCAGGACUUAGUUUUCUAUAAAUACUCUAAACAAGGGAAUGAAAAGCCUCGUAUUCCAAAGCAGUCAUGACAAUGUGAGACUCCCCAUUGUCAGUGGAAGGUCUGAUUGCACUGAGAAAUGGUCCUUACAGUCCAUAAGGAAGAGCAGCUGAUGGCUGAAGCUGCAUGUGACCAUAACUUGUAUAAGAGCCAAGCAGAUCCCCAAACAUGAUCUCUCAUUUCCAGCCAGUGAACUGAGUUGGAAGGAUUUUAACAUGCCAAAGAUUAAUACCUUCAGCUAGAACCAGAUCAUGUGCAGGUAGGCACUGUCCACAGUUGUUUGUACAACUUUACCAAAGCAUCGGCUGUUAUUUGUGGCAGUCCAUAUACACAUGAUUUGCAUAGUGACAAGAUUGAGACUGGCUACUUGCAUAGCAAUUAGACUGAGGUUGGAAAAUGGAUGUUGCUUGUGGUCAUCUUGUGGGAGCCUACCAGGCAUAUGCUGUAAGUCUCCUUACAAAAGCAGUCCCUCUAGUAUCAAGGAGAUAGUUGUCAUAAGUAAGGGUUUGCACAGCAGCCCUACAUAUUACAGAAGUUCAAGAUAAGCCAAAAUGUAGAACACAGCAGCAUUUUAUAUUCAGUGAAGCUCUAAUCCACCAAAGCAUUUAAGUACAUACCUAACAUGAAGCUUCUGACUAGCCCAGUUGGAAUCAGUGGACUACUCAUGUGCUGAGUUGAACAUGUGCACAAGUGCUUUGUAGGAUCACAGCCCGACCACACAGAUUACUCGUGCCUUCAUUCGAAUGUUGUACAGAGGAUAGGAAACAAAUAACCAAUGUUGUAAUGACACGGCAGAGCCACAAAAAUCAGUCAAUAUUUUGAGUUCCCAACACAUUAUGGUAAUAUAUUGCUUUGUGGCUGCAUAUUGGACUGCAGAUCUUUUGCCACAUCACCAUAUAUUCAAUUGAGCAACUGCAAUCAUACAUAGUGAGAGUGAGUAUUUGAUCCAGAAUGAAGGUAUUUUUCCUUUAAAUGUUGCAUUCUGCUAAAACUGUAUCAUUUUGCACACAGUGGGCCCACCUAUAUGUGUCCCUAUGGCAUCAUUGUUACUGCGCCGCCGUUUAGUACUUUCUUUUGGAAGUACUAAAUGAUGGCGCAGUAACAGCCCGUACUGUGCCACGCUGGUGGUGCGCGGUUAUUUUUAGCUGCUAUGUUGCCAUAGCAAUGUGCUAUUCUGAGGGAGUGCGUUGCUACGGCGAUAUAGCAAUGGUGUCAUGGUUUUUGCCCGCAGACGCUACGUUGCCAGAGUGGGUUGCUACAGCGAUGUAGCAUCGUGUGUAAAAGUGUCCACUGAGUGCGACAGAGUUUGUCACGUAUAUCGGUCUGCAGCCGCGUGCGAGGAUGUGAUGACGAGAAAUGCAUUCUGAUGACUGAUUUUUUAGGAGAACCUUUUCAGUCCUAGACAAAACACACAUCACUAUCUGUGCUGAUUUUUUGCUAAUGCUGUUGAUUUGCUGGGAGGGGGAGGGUUUUCUUAUUUCGUUUUUUGUUUUAUAGGGACAUGCGAGGACUUCAUAGCAUUUAUUUUUUUUACUGGAACUGAAAACUAUAUUUGUUAGCUACGUGAUUAGAACUGUGAAACGUUUCCAGGAGUAAGCAAUAUGGCCAGCUAAUAUAAGUCAUCAUCAGCAUCUGCACUGACUUAAGUGGAGCUAUAUCAAUUUAUUCUGUCUGUUCCGGCUCUUCUUCAGUGAUAAUGCUGUGUAUUUCUAAAAGCAGCAGCAGUUAAAAAGCAGUAAGGCAAGGAAGAUAAUAUGAAUCAAAUUCUCUACAGAUGUAACUUAAUAGAAUUAAAUGAGCAGAGAAUAAGCACGUCUUAUAUUUUUUGAUAUAAUAAGGUUGCCUUAGGAGCCAUAAAAUGAUGGAAGCCACAAAACCACCGUACUUACCUGGCUUAUGGGCUACAUGAUAAAAUAUGUGCAAUGUUCAUCCUGCUACUUUGUUUUUGGAUCAGGAAAUGAAUUUACGUGAACCAUCUUACUUACAUUUACUAUAAUAAGGCAAAAGUGUAAGUAUACCAGCUGUUUACUGUUUUCCUUGUCCCUGAGCACCAAGAAAAGCAUUUACCAGUUAGAACAAUGAAGCAAAUGCAAGGAGAAGUAUAAACACACGCGUCCGUUCUGUUUGCAUACGGAGCAAAAUGUAUAAAUUUUAGUCGUAAUCAAUUCUGUGAAUUGUUCUAUUGCUUAUAAUACCUCUGCUUUCAUUGUACUCAUGACUCUCACAUUAUGCAGUCCAUACAGACUGUAUGAAGACUAGUCCCAGCUUGUUAUUUGAAACAUUAUUUAAUUGGAUAACUUUCUGACUUUGAACACAGUCAGUUGCAGUCAAGAGUGCAUCCACCAGUUCAGUUUAGACCAGUUUCACACUGGUCACUAUUGACUGGUGGAUGCACUCUUGACUAAUACCCUGCAUGAAACCAGAAUCAUAACCUAGAUAUGUAGCUACCUAUAAGCCAGACUGUCACUCUUGCUUUAAUUACAUUGUAUUGUACACCCUGAUCCUGAAAUAGGACUGCUUGCAAUGCACAGAAGCUAAGUAUAUGUGAUGGCUGGUUGUUUCAUUUUGAUGUUAAUGACAUGGAUUGUAGAGUGAGGGCUGAAGCCUGCUCCCAUUGAGAACAAUGGAAAAACUUGAAUGGUGGAAGAUCAAGACCUUAAAAGGGAGCUUUUCUAUCGACUUCAGUGCAAAUGGGGAAGGCAGAUGAAGGGGAUUGAGCCACUUCCCUCUGCAUACACACAUGCAGAGAAGAGCAAGUAUGCAUGGGAACAGGCUGUACAGGUGCACUCUACGCUGGGAAGUUCAAACAAGGAUGCUGCCUCCUGGAAACACUGGCAUUCACCUGAGUUCUGCCUGGGUUGGUGGGUCCAUAUCACCACUGCAGCUUGGGGCAGAAUCAAAACAGCACCAUCUGGCCAACACUAUUCACCAUUCACACUCCUUUAAUCUAUUAUCUUGCAUAUUUCUUCCCAUACAACACACCUUUUUCCAAAAAAUCUGCCCGCUAAAUUGGGGUGUAUGCAUUAAACAGGGAAGCUGAUUUUCUGCCCAGGAUAGAAGCAUCCUGCUUUGAUUCCUUCUCCACUGUGCAGCACCUGUAGCAUUACUGUUUGGGCAGCUGAGGGAGUCAAUUCACUUCAUGGCUUUUUGUUCUUCAUUUCUUAGGUGUUAACAUCCUCUCUCCUUAUUAAUGGUCUUCAUGUUCCAUCAAUCAAGCUAACUUUUCUGAGGCAACUUUUGCUAUUGACUAGCUAUUCCCGGUCUCUCUCCUUAUUUCCCAGCCCUGGAGAUUUUUUAGCUAUUUUCAAGAUCGUAUAUCUAUCUAUGGAGAUCAGUCUUCAGCAGCAGCUAGGGUUUCAGCUUUAGUUAGGCAAGAAGGGGAAGGUGAAAUUAAAACAAAGAUUAAGCUCUGUCCCUGAGCUAUGCAACCAUAACUCUGAAGAAAUCUUUCCCCCCCGCCACUUCAUUCUUCCUUUCAAAAACAAGGUAUGUAUUAUAUUCUGGGGAGUGCUGUAUGCAAGAACAUAAGAGCAUAUGGUACUUCAUUGCACCAGUCCUAAAGGCUCCAGACAUUGUUUUAUGUACAACAAUAUAACUGCAAUAUGGUCCAUGUCCUAGUGAUCAUACAAGCCAGGUAAAUUUACUACAAUGAUUGUGUUAUUAUUUAUCUGGAGUGCAGGACACUUCAAACCAUGGUAAUCAAGCCUCCAGUCCUGCAAGCUAAUUCAUAUGAGUGGAUCUCUGCAUCUACGCAGAGCCCCAUUAAAGCCAAGCCAGAGGUCUUCCAUGACUAAAAGCCCAAGUUUGUAACGAGGCUCCCUAGUAUAUGCCUCAAAAUGAUAGUUCAUUUUAUAUCUCUUGCUUUUGACUCAUUGUUAUGGGAACACAUUAGCUAAUUGGUUUUCAUUACACAGAUUACUGUUGCUUCCCUAUUAGUUAAUUGAAUUAAUAUUGUUUUCAUUUCAGUAAUACCCAAACAGCAUCAGAGCCUCAUAGUAUUAGGUGUAAGAAUGCAUGGCACGAACUCUGAUACAAACCGCAUGUUUUUCGGAUUAAGCUAAUAUCAGCUAUUAGGGCUUAAGAGAAGACCUAAUGUGAGAAGCAGAUAAUCCCACAUCUGCUUAAUGUUGUACCUUCCUCCAAAGCCUUGAGGGCCUGCCAGUGUCAGAAAGGGGAUAGUGGAUCAGAUGGACCUUUUUACUCAGAUCCGGAUAUGAAAUUCCUGAAAAAUAUGCCAGAGGUCAGCAACAUACAGCCCACAGUGCCAAUGGAUCUAGUCUGCAGAGCUGGAGGGCUUUGCCUGUGCCUGCAUCAUGUAGGACUGGGCAGAAGCAGCUGUAUCUGUGCUGCCGUGGCUUCUCCCUGCCUCUCCCCCUCCCACAGCUGCAGUGUGGGUGCAGCUUCCAGUCAAUGGGGAGCUGUACCAGGGCCAGGCAGCUUCCAGGUGUGCUUGUGCCGCAGCCAAGAGGCAGGGGUUAAUGAGGAGAAAAGGCAGCAGUAUAGACACAGUUUGCAGCUGUUUGGCCCUGGUGCAACUCCCCACUAGCUGGAAGAGCUGGGGGAAGUGGUGGUGGUGCAGCACAGCUGCCUGGCCCCAGCAUGGGCACAGGGAAAGCCGCCCUGCUGCUGAUUCACCACUGAAACCACUUAGCCCACAUCAGACAAGAGCUAAGUUGUUCUGGCCCACCACUUGUUAAAGGUUGCGCCUGGGACAAAGGUUGCUAAAGGGGCUCCUUAUUCCAGGGACUGGAAUAUAGCACCCCGUUUCUCCUAGCCUUUUGAAUCUAUUGCACAAGAGUCUCUUGUCAUUUUUAGUGCCCUUCUCUGGAAACUUUGUGUUCUUCUUAAGAUGAAACAACAGAAACUGAGUAUCACAUUCAAGGUUAAAUAUGUACCAUCAGUUUAUAUAGUAACAGAUGUGGAUUUAUGCACGGGCCUGUGGGCCUCUGCCAGUCAGGGGUCCCCUGGGUGUCUGGGUUCCCUCGGGAAAUGGUGGGUUUCCCCUUGAGGCCCCCACGGUAAAGGAGGGAUGGGGCAGGGCCUGGGGGUGCUGCCCAGCCAGGGCAGUGCAUGGGAUCUAGGGCUGGGACAGGGAGCAGGACAGAGCCCUCGUUCAGGAGGUGUGGGUAGAGCAUCUCCCUCCCACUGCAUGCACCCCCUGGGGGAGGGGGGGCCAUGUGCCCCUCCAUAUUUGUGCACGGGGCAGAUGCAGGCUGCUCACUGUGGGCUCAGGGCUCUC